UGAGUAACACGUAUGCAAUCCACCUGUAACAGGGGGAGUAACCCGGAGAAAUCCGGACUAAUACCCAUAAUAUGGGCGCUCCGCAUGGAGAGUUCAUUAAAGAGAGCAAUUUUGGUUACAGACGAGCAUGCGCUCCAUUAGCCAGUUGGCGGGGUAACGGCCCACCAAGGCGACGAUGGAUAGGGGUUCUGAGAGGAAGGUCCCCCACAUUGGAACUGAGACACGGUCCAA
rnacentral:rRNA from 1 species